GUGGCAGCAGCCGCGGUAAAACCAGCACCUCAAGUGGUCAGGAGGAUUAUUGGGCCUAAAGCAUCCGUAGCCGGCUCUGUAAGUUUUCGGUUAAAUCCAUGUGCUCAACGCAUGGGCUGCCGAAAAUACUGCAUAGCUAGGGAGUGGGAGAGGUAGACGGUACUCGGUAGGAAGGGGUAAAAUCCUUUGAUCUAUCGAUGACCACCUGUGGCGAAGGCGGUCUACCAGAACACGUUCGACGGUGAGGGAUGAAAGCUGGGGGAGCAAACCGGAUUAGAUACCCGGGUAGUCCCAGCUGUAAACGAUGCAGACUCGAUGAUGCAUUGGCAUAUAGCCAGUGCAGUGUCGCAGGGAAGCCGUUAAGUCUGCCGCCUGGGAAGUACGUACGCAAGUAUGAAACUUAAAGGAAUUGGCGGGGGAGCACCACAAGGGGUGAAGCCUGCGGUUCAAUUGGAGUCAACGCCAGAAAUCUUACCCGGAGAGACAGCAGAAUGAAGGUCAAGCUGAAGACUUUACCAGACAAGCUGAGAGGUGGUGCAUGGCCGUCGCCAGCUCGUGCCGUGAGAUGUCCUGUUAAGUCAGGUAACGAGCGAGAUCCUCGCCACUAGUUGCUAUCAUUAUUCUCAGGAAUAGUGGGGCGAAUUAGUGGGACUGCCGUUGUUAAAACGGAGGAAGGAGGGGGCUACGGCAGGUCAGUAUGCCCCGAAACUCUGGGGCCACACGCGGGCUGCAAUGGUAGCGACAAUGAGCUCCAAACUCGAAAGAGAGUGGCAAUCUCUAAACGCUACCACAGUUAUGACUGAGGGCUGUAACUCGCCCUCACGAAUAUGGAAUCCCUAGUAACCGCGUGUCAUUACCGCGCGGUGAAUACGUCCCUGCUCCUUGCACACACCGCCCGUC
rnacentral:rRNA from 1 species